GCCUUGCAAAGUUUGCAAAUUUUGUAUACUUUUGUAUUGCAUGCAAAAAUUGCUAUACAAAAGUAUACAAAAUUUGCAAACUUUGGAAGGCUAUAUUUU
rnacentral:miRNA from 1 species